rnacentral:misc_RNA from 1 species
UGUGUUAUAUUUUAAGUCUAUAGUUGGGGCACAUGUACAGAAGCGGGCGUUGUUUGUUAGUAUAUUCUGUGGUUUGUUGUUCAUCUAUGUUGUUGAUUAUGUAGACACAGAAAGUGAAGAAAGAUAGGAAAUCUCAGUGUUUUAAUUUUCUAAAUAUAUGUACCUAUUUUUCCUAGUUUUUUAAUGUGUGUUGUAGCAUUAUGAAGCAUCUAAAAUCAAUUUUUCUCAUAUUUGUGCAAAUAAUAUACUAUGUAAAGAACUCUAGUGCCUCCUUUAAUUUAUAUUUAAGUCCUCAGGAAAUGCAGAGACAUUUAGGAUUACAAGCCGAACUGUACUACGUUCAAGAUAAUCGCAUAAACGAAUAUGCCCUGAAUUUUACUCUUUUAUUACCUCCAAAAUUAAACACAUUAUAUUUUACAUGGAAAAAUACAGACAGUCAAGAGCUGCCAUAUUCAAUCAGUGUUGAAACAUCGAAUAGAGCUGCUAUACCAUAUCCAAAAUUAAAUAUCUCCUCAUCUGGAUCUGUUCCCACGUCAACUCAAACUUUUGCAGUAUCAGUACCAUGUACUGAGACUAUUGAUGCAGAAGUGCUUAUAUCUAUUAACAUCAACGUAACUUUUCCUGGAAAUAAUGUUACUAAACUUCAUUUGUCAAGAAGGAAAACUUGUAUUAAUGAAAAUUUAAAACCUUAUGCUUCCAAAAAUUCUCUGACAUUCGCUGAUUCGUCUAGUGUAUUUUACAUAGCGGUUUGUUGUGCUGUUCUGCUAAUUUUGGUUCUGGGAGUUUUAAUAACAAUUUAUUAUGUAACUGAUAAAAAGAAUAAAGUGGCAAAAAGUAGUGGCACAGGUCCAGGAACCACUACAACGACGUUUCUAGCAACUUUGCCUAGAAACAGUGUUAAUAUUUCUUCUUAUGCCAGUUUCAGAAGAAUGCCUAGUUAUUCUUUACUAGAUGAAAGAUCAAAAGAUUUACAAGAAAGAAUAACAGACCUUACAGUACAAAGAUGCAGAAUUCGCUUAAGCAGUAUAAUAUUAGAAGGAACAUUUGGAAGAAUAUACCAGGGAUCUUAUACUAAUGAAGAAGGAAAUGAAGAUACUGUUAUAAUAAAAACAGUUGCGGAUCAUGCAAGUCAAAUACAAAUAUCUUUGUUGCUACAAGAGGGGAUGGCAAUGUAUUCAUUAAACCAUAAAAAUAUUUUAAGUAUUCUUAGGGUGUCUAUUGAAGACCAUACUGCUCCAUUUUUACUAUACCCAUUUAACAAUUACAAGAACCUAAAAAUUUUCUUACAGAAAUGUAAAGUAUCAUCUGAAGGUGUGCACCACACACUAACAACUCAAGAAGUAGUGCACAUGGCUCUGCAAAUCAUAAAAGCAAUGCAGUAUUUGCAUAAAAGGCAUUUACUUCAUAAAGACCUGGCUGCUAGAAAUUGUGUUAUAGAUGAUUCGCUGAAUAUUCAAGUUGCUGAUAAUGCUUUAUCAAGAGAUCUUUUUCCAUCAGACUACCAUUGUUUAGGAGAUAAUGAAAAUCGCCCCGUUAAAUGGUUGGCCUUAGAGAGUUUAUUACACAAAACUUUCACGCCUUCAUCAGAUGUUUGGUCGUUUGGGGUUUUGCUAUGGGAGUUGACUACUUUAGCACAACAACCUUACAUCGAAAUAGAUCCUUUUGAAAUGGCAGCUUACUUAAAAGAUGGCUACAGACUAGCUCAGCCUAUUAACUGUCCAGAUGAAUUAUUUGCUGUUAUGGCCUAUUGUUGGGCUAUGAGUCCUGAAGAGAGGCCUACUUUUACACAGCUGCAUGUAUUCUUACAGGAAUUCUUUGCACAAUUAACCAAAUAUGUUUGACAUCCAAUAAAAAUGAGCGCAAAAGUUUUAUUUUGCUACUAGAUUUAUGUUCCUUUGUCUUAAGUGCCAAAGUUGGGAAGAAAUGUUUUGCCAAAUAUGGGAUGUCUCUCUUUAUCUGGACUGUAUAUUGGGUUGCCUAAAUAGAAAUAUUUAAAUAUUGA